rnacentral:lncRNA from 1 species
UAAGAAAACCGCAACUGUUUUGUAGCCUUCCUGACAAUUUACACUAGAAUGAAUUAACCUAAAACUAUCGAAUCCACCUAAACUUAGUUUCGAUUGUUCUACCACCCCGACUGGUUUCCAGUCUUUAAUCUUUUGGACAAUGUUGACAAUUUAACAAUCAGGUCACGUUUGGCAGUAACAAGUACCCCAUUUGUUCUGUUCAUGCGCAUUGACGCAAAGUUGACAAUAACAAAGUUUAUAUAAUUUUAGACAUCGUGUGAAUUUGACUGGAAAUUUGACUGAUUUACUCAUCUUCGUCUGAUUGCAACCAAGUUUGCUUUUAUUAACCGAAUACAUGUUUUAUGGAUUAAUGAAUGCUGUAGCACCAGCUCUCAAGCUUCACCUUAUGACAGUUUCAAUGAUGCUUGGCAGGUUUAAUGUAUUUCAGAGACAAAAUCCAUAUGAAAAACAACAGAUACCCUGAUUGCUGUUCUAAUUAAAACUGUGCAUGAUUUUGGUUUGAGGGGGUACCAUAUCAUGAACACCAAAACCCUACAACCACCCAAUUCCUUAUCAGGCAAUAGAUUUAAGAAUUUGAACCUUGAACCAAGUUUUGAAUCCUUGCCCUACUUCUAUAAGAACAUAUGCAGUUCAGAAGAGG